CAACCUUUAGAAAUAGUUGCAAUUCUUACAUUAAUACUCAUUGAUCUCAUCAAAACACGUAUAUUUUUAUUAUUUUAGUCAGAGUAAGGGCUGUAUCGUCGUUGAAUUUUGUUAAACCCAAAUUUGUAAAUAUAAUAUAGCUAUUUUUGUCUAGAUUUAUUUUUUAAGUGAGGUAAUAGAAGCUGCUACAAAUUCAUGACGGACACACCCUAGGUUGUGGAAAACUAUAGUUUUCCUGGGGGGCCUCCAUUUGAAACCGAGACUGUUUGCGGGAAAGCUCACUUACAAGCUAAGCGACGGUGCACUUACCAGUCGUUUAUGUCGUAAUGGACUUGAAGUUUGAAAUAUUCAGAAGGAAUUGGAGCUUAAGGAAGAAAGUUUUAGAUUGUCAAAGACCUUGAGGAUUGGUGUUUCUUACCUAUUCGAUAAAACUUUAAAAGUUAAAGUAUGUUAAAAAACAGUAUUUUAUAAUACUAUAUAGUAAAUAUUUUAUUUUUAUCA